AAGUCGUAACAAGGUAACCGUAGGUGAACCUGCGGUUGGAUCAUUAAAAAAGCGCACUUUCUGUGCGGUACCUCUGUCGUGGACCGGUUCCCUUCCUCUCGGGGAAGGUCGAGCGUAAGUUGUCCCGACAGGUUUGGUGACCUUUUGUGAACUGUUUUGUCUCUGGCGGCCGGGUGAAGGUCCUUUCCGGUCUUCAUCUGUCAGCCUGGCCAAAAGCCGGGCCGUGGACAAACCGCCAACCGUGUUAGACCUAGAUGUAUCAUGUUCAGUCUGAAGUAAACCUGUAUUUCAAUAUACAAACAACUUUUGGCAACGGAUCUCUUGGCUCUC
rnacentral:misc_RNA from 1 species